GCCCCGAACACUGUUACUGCCAGCUCUUGGGGUAUUUCCCCCUUAUCUUAAGAUGGCUAGAUAAUCCAGUCCCUUUAACUUCAGGGGAACAAGGUUUUAAAAUGCUUUUGAUGUCCAGGCCGAAUCCUCGAUAGACAACUAAAUCAGGAUCUUUGGAGGGAAUGGGUUGGAGAGAUGAUGGCUCAGCGGUUAAGAGCACCGACUGUUCUUCCAGAGGUCCUGAGUUCAAUUCCCAGCAACCACAUGGUGGCUCAUAACCAUCUGUCACGAGGUCCGGUGCCCUCUUCUGGUGGAAGAAUGGAAGCAGAAUGUUGUAUACAUAAUAAAUAAAUAAAGUCUUUUAAAAAAAUGUCCAGGGAACAGGGACUUUGUCUUAUUUCUUUUACAUCUUUGCAUCUGACAGUUUCAAAUGAA
rnacentral:lncRNA from 1 species